CACUCCUACGGGAGGCAGCAGUGGGGAAUAUCGCACAAUGGGCGCAAGCCUGAUGCAGCCAUGCCGCGUGUAUGAAGAAGGCCUUCGGGUUGUAAAGUACUUUCAGCGGGGAGGAAGGCGAUAAGGUUAAUAACCUUGUCGAUUGACGUUACCCGCAGAAGAAGCACCGGCUAACUCCGUGCCAGCAGCCGCGGUAAUACGGAGGGUGCAAGCGUUAAUCGGAAUUACUGGGCGUAAAGCGCACGCAGGCGGUCUGUCAAGUCGGAUGUGAAAUCCCCGGGCUCAACCUGGGAACUGCAUUCGAAACUGGCAGGCUAGAGUCUUGUAGAGGGGGGUAGAAUUCCAGGUGUAGCGGUGAAAUGCGUAGAGAUCUGGAGGAAUACCGGUGGCGAAGGCGGCCCCCUGGACAAAGACUGACGCUCAGGUGCGAAAGCGUGGGGAGCAAACAGGAUUAGAUACCCGAGUAGUCC
rnacentral:rRNA from 1 species